UGUAUGAAGAAGGCCUUCGGGUUGUAAAGUACUUUCAGCGGGGAGGAAGGGAGUAAAGUUAAUACCUUUGCUCAUUGACGUUACCCGCAGAAGAAGCACCGGCUAACUCCGUGCCAGCAGCCGCGGUAAUACGGAGGGUGCAAGCGUUAAUCGGAAUUACUGGGCGUAAAGCGCACGCAGGCGGUUUGUUAAGUCAGAUGUGAAAUCCCCGGGCUCAACCUGGGAACUGCAUCUGAUA
rnacentral:rRNA from 1 species